AGGAUGAGUGAGUCAGCUGCAUAGUGCUUGGCAGAUGGCAGGUGUUCAAUGGCAGCUGUCACUGAGAGGACAGGAAGUGACCAGCACCCCUAGGUGCAAGGUGAGUAGACAGGUCUGCUG